GGGGAUUUAGCUCAGCGGUAGAGUGCUUGCCUAGCAAGCGCAAGGCCCUGGGUUCAGUCCCCA
rfam:Rattus norvegicus chromosome 6, whole genome shotgun sequence.